rnacentral:lncRNA from 1 species
CAAUUAGGUGCCAACUCUUGGCUAACCCAUAUUAGAAUAUGAUCUAAUCAAAUUAGAUCAAUUAAGAAUCAGAUUCGAAUCCAAUUCGAAUCAGAUUCGAAUCCAAUUCGAAUCAGGAGCUAAGGUUUGCAACACCUGCUAGGAUGUUUAUCUUGCAAACAUGAUCUAAUCCAAUUAGAUCCUUGAUAAGUUUUUUUGUGUGUGACCCAUUGGGUUCCAUACUUAGCCAGCAAUAGGUGUGAGUGCGAGUUGACCCAACUUGAUUAGAACUCUUCUAAUCGAUUUAAGUCCAAACUGCGUGAACCCGAACUUAAUAAUUAGAAUCCUUUCUAAUUGGUGAUCGAAUUAAACUCUUUAAUUCGAUCAAACCUAUAAGACAAGAUUGACGUCUAGCAACAUAUCAUGUCUACCCGAAAAAUAUGGAAUUUGGUGGAAAUACCAAAAAUACCCUUCAGUGGCAAGUUACCAUGCAAUUCAAUCCUUUAAUCAAACUGCAUCCCAAAUAUGUAUAUGAGUAUGAAUAUAUGUCAAACUCAAUUUCAUAUUCAUAUUUUUCUCAAUCUUUUAAUGAUAAUUCAAAUAAUGAAACAUUAGAAACUCUUUCUAAUUUUUAUUCUGCUUUGAUCAAAGGCUUUCUGAAUUAUCAUAUGAUUAU